GUAUAACAACGAAACGGGUUCCUCGCUAAUUCCUCGUAACACUGCUUUUACGACGAAGUGACGAGGAAAACUGCCCUCGUAAAACUUUUGUUUUCUUGUAGUGCAUUGGAAUGGGGGGUCUCCACUUCAUGGAGCCCCAAUUUGAAAAAAAAAACUUAUAUACAUAUAAAUUUAUACUAUAUAAAACAUAAAAAUGUUAAAGAUAUUAAGUAAAAAUUAUAUUAUUAGAUAAAAUUUAUGAUUAUUCAUUUUAAAAAUAACCAUUUACAAAAUAAAAUAUAUAAUUUUUUUUUUAUUUUUACUAAAAAUUUGAUAAAAUUUCAAUUUUGUAUAGGACCUCCAUAACGUUAGGUCCGGCUCCCCGGCUCUGCUGUCCAGGUAAGUAGACCUUUUUUUUUACACAAGAAAGUUAUAAUUUAACUGUGCCUUCCAUCACAAGAAAGCAUUGCAUAUUGUUGCUGAUUGAUGACUAUAUUUAUGGUGUAAGUGUGUGUAGAUUAUUUGUAUAUUGGUUCCUAUAUGCACCUUCACUGUGUACUAGUAUUAAUACUUUCGAAGAGAUGUUUAUGAUCUUCAUCACGCCAUUCUCGGUAUCGCAUUCUCAUGUCUUGUGACUGGAGUCACCACGGACUCCAUCAAAGAUGCAGUCGAUUGGCCACGACCUAACUUCUUUUACCGAUGUUUUCCCGACGGUAAACCGGAAUGCAGAAAUUUGACCCGGAAACUAGGAUGUUGUACCAUGGAGUUAAAAAGAUAAUCAAAGAAGGUUACAAGAGUUUCCCUAGUGGUCACACUUCAUGGUCAUUUGCUGGUUUAACAUUCUUGGCGUGUUACUUAUCGGGUAAAAUCAAAGUCUUUGACAGAAGGGGACAUGUGGCGAAGCUAUGCCUUGUGUUCUUACCGAUACUCGUCGCAGUUCUUAUCGGAAUAUCACGUGUCGACGACUAUUGGCACCAUUGGACCGACGUCUUCGCCGGAACGAUCAUCGGAACAUUUGUCGCUUCUUUCUCUUAUCUCCACUUUUUUUCCUUACCCAUUCGACGAAAAUGGUAGUAAACAUUAUUUAUACCGUGAUGUCACUGCUUUCUUGAAUCGAGAUCUUCAAGAUUAUGAAUUUUAUUUUACCAAAAGAAAAAGAUUAUGAAUUUUAACAGAGUGGGCCCCACAUGCAUAUUUUAGAAUGUUGGCUGAGAAGAGUGGUCUAGCCACGACAAUGACACACGGAGCGGUUCUCGAGUGAUGUUGGACGAAGACGUCGAGCCUGGUUCCACCUACUUUCCGCACGAUUGUAAUCGAGAAAGCACUAUUCUGAAUUUUAAAUA